rnacentral:rRNA from 1 species
CGUGUAGGCGGUUUGUUAAGUCUGAUGUGAAAGCCCUGGGCUCAACCUGGGAAGUGCAUUGGAAACUGGCAGACUUGAAUACGGGAGAGGGUAGUGGAAUUCCUGGUGUAGGAGUGAAAUCCGUAGAUAUCAGGAGGAACACCGGUGGCGAAGGCGGCUGCCUGGACCGAUAUUGACGCUGAGACGCGAAAGCGUGGGUAGCAAACA